GAUGAAGAACGUAGCGAAAUGCGAUAAGUAGUGUGAAUUGCAGAAUUCAGUGAAUCAUCGAAUCUUUGAACGCACAUUGCGCCCCUUGGUAUCCCGAGGGGCAUGCCUGUUCGAGCGUCAUUUCACCACUCAAGCCUGGCUUGGUGUUGGGCGACGUCCCCUUUAGGGACGCGCCUCGAAACGCUCGGCGGCGUGGCACCGGCUUUAAGCGUAGCAGAAUCUUUCGCUUUGGAAGUCGGGGCCCCGUCUGCCGGAAGACCUGCUCGCAAGGUUGACCUCGGAUCAGGCAGGGAUACCCGCUGAACUUAAGCAUAUCAAUAAGCGGAGGA
rnacentral:misc_RNA from 1 species